rnacentral:rRNA from 1 species
GACCGAGGGUGCAAACGUUGUUCGGAAUUACUGGGCGUAAAGCGCGUGUAGGCGGCUCCGUGUGUCGGGCGUGAAAGCCCACGGCUCAACCGUGGAAGUGCACCCGAAACUGCGUAGCUAGAGUCCUGGAGAGGAAGGUGGAAUGCUUGGUGUAGAGGUGAAAUUCGUAGAUAUCAAGCGGAACACCGGUGGCGAAGGCGGCCUGCUGGACAGUGACUGACGCUGAGACGCGAAAGCGUGGGGAGCAAACAGG